GCGCUCCGUCAGUGCGGAGUUUUUGGGGAGGCGGCACUGAGUCAGACCAGUACUCGUGUGCCGGCUGUGAGAGGCCCCCAGACCCGGGACCAGGGCGUGGCCUGGGCAGACCUCCAGCCCUGCGGGUUUUGUGUGACUGCUGCAUUCAGUUCUCAGUCCUCUUUUGUCUUCAAAACCUGAGCCGUUUGGAUGGUGCCUGGAGGGAAGUGGGGAUCCGCUGACCCCGAGAGGAGAGCGUGUCCAGGGGCGCGUGGACCUCAGCCACCUGCUGAGUUUCAGGGAGUUACUUUCACCCGUUCCCACCUCUCUGAGGGGUGGGCGGGUGCAGGACGGCUCUGCGUGGUUUUCAGGUGUUUUCAUCUGGAUGCACAUCGGUGGGCGUUCCGCAGGCAGAUCAACUGAUGAAGCUUUUCAUCAUAACGAUAAUGUCGGCAACCGCAAACUACUGGAGUCUGCGAAGUGCUGUGCACGUUACCCUGGAGGCCUGGCAGCAGGGUUGGGGGCUGUCAGCUGUUUCACAGGAGUGCAGCAGGGAACCGGCCUUCUCUGCUCCAAUGAGGAGAUGGACACUGCGUCCUGACCAUCACUGCUGCCGGGAGCGAGAGACGGAAGCAAAAGGGGCAGCUGAAACCCACCUGCGCACUCACCCUCCACGUGGAAGGCGGCCGGGGCGACGCCCCAAGGCACCCAGAUUCGAAACUCACCUGUCGCAGCCGGGAGGCGGGAUUCCCGGAGUGGCUGGCUCCCCGCAUCUCUGCGGAGGCCUCCUGGGUGGGAGCGGGCCCUCCUCCUGGCUCCUCGCCUGGGCUGACACGAGCUGGUCCGUCCAGGGACCCCACGUGGGGCCCUGCUCCAUAGGCAGCAUCGACACCCCCGUGACCCUUUAGGAUCACACCGACCCCGUGCCCCACACUCACCCUGACUGCCGUGCUGCCAAUCACCAGCUCCCGCACCCGUCAGCCAGCGCCGUCUCCUCACUGAGUGUGGUCUUUGGACUGUGGUUAGCCUGGCUGUCUCCCCGAGGGGCUAUUUUCAGGGAUGGUUCCACAUGGGACCUUCCAAGGACCAUAGAGGAAAGUGUGUGUGGGCUUCCACUGGGGGACAAAUGUACACUUCCCGCAGUGAGGCUUCGCCUCAGUGGCUGUGGGCGGAAAGCCGCAAAGAGAGGGGCUGUAAAAUCAAAGUCCGGGUGGACGGGGCUGGCACGGCUGCUGUGCCGGCUCGUGGUCAGGUGGGGACCUGUGCCCCUGUUUCCAUGGCUCCACCGUCAUCAACCAGUGGGGCCACUUUUAGGUCAGGCUCCAGCCUGCCUAUCCCCCCAAGAAACCAACCAAUUACAAGGAAGAUGUGGGUACAGACCCCCCAUGCCACCAGCCUGGGGGUGCAGAGCCUCCCCUUGGCUCACAAGCCACGACCGGCCUCGUGGCCACACCGGUGCAGGGCAGCUGGGAGAUGACCCGUCCCAGGAGGCCAGGCCCCAGCUCGGUGUCGGGGACUCCACGGGAGCAGCAAGGGACGCGACGCUGGAUGCCUGGGGUCAGCCGCAGACACCCCCCGCGCCCCCGCCACCUAGAAAAGACCCCAUGACUGCAGCCUGGGCCGGGGCAGGUGUGGCCUUCAUUUGUGUGGUGUUCACUGGGGAGUCUGAGCGUUUUCUCAGCUCUUACACCAUGGCUUCCUCGUCUGAGUCUGCGUCUGGCCUGUCUUCCUGCUGUCUGUCCCCCUUGUAUUGUCCGAGCUUUUACGGUUUCUGGGUCAUGAGUCUCAUUGUUCUUUAUGCCCCCAGACUCCCUGGUCUGUGCACUUAGUCUGCCGUGUAACUGAGAAGCCCCGGACUUUGGGGCGGUCCACUUUAUCAGGCGUCCUAUUUGCUAUGCGUCUGUUUUUAGUGUCUGAGAGAAGACGGUCCUAACUCUCAAAGGUCGUAAACCCACUGCUUUAUCUUUGCUUCUGAUACACUUAUAGUUUUCCAACCUUCACAUCUUAAGGUUUUCGACAUUUGUCUUUGGGAUACAAUUUUUAUGCUUUUUUCCCCGAAAGGAAGAGUCAUUUUUCCAAAUAUUCUUGACCACAUGAGUGGCCUUUUCUCCGCGGGUCUGGAAGCCACCGCACAGGACAGCCUGACCCGCACGCGACCUGCUUCCUGGGUGUUUGGUUUGGCCUGAGCUGCUACCACACGCUUUCAUAAUGUUGCUUCCUUCCAAGCGGAAGCACUUCGAGUACUUCUGCGCCACUUCUGUUGUUGGCUCUUCUAUGUGAGUGGGGCCUGACUGUGUUGAAACUUUGAUUAGGAUCACAGUGAAUUCAUAGAAUUGGCACGUCACCCAACGUGUCCACACGCGAACGUGGGCUCGCCCUCUGGUUAGUUAAGCAUCUCUGUGUUUUGGGACUUAAUCUUUCUGUUGUGUUUUGCUAAUAUAUGGGGAAAAAAUUCAGACUCGAAGUUGAAGAGCCACUCCUGUUUUAUAAAUAAAGGGCCAAGUGCGUUUGACGGAAGUGAGAGU
ensembl:lncRNA